rnacentral:rRNA from 1 species
AGCGAACGUUAGCGGCAGGCUUAACACAUGCAAGUCGAGCGCGAAAGAGGGCUUCGGCCCUCGAGUAAAGCGGCGUACGGGUGAGUAACACGUGGAUAAUCUGCCCUCCGGUGGGGGACAACAACCCGAAAGGGUUGCUAAUACCGCAUUCGUCGGCGAGCUCUGCGGAGCACGUCGGGAAAGGUGCCCUCUACUUAUAAGGUACCGCCGGAGGAGGAGUCCGCGUCCCAUCAGCUAGUUGGAGGGUAACGGCCUACCAAGGCUAAGACGGGUAGCUGGUCUGAGGGGAUGAUCAGCCACACUGGGACUGAGACACGGCCCAGACUCCUACGGGAGGCAGCAGUGGGGAAUAUUGGACAAUGGGCGCAAGCCUGAUCCAGCCAUGCCGCGUGAGU